CCUUAACCCACUGAGCAGGGCUGGGGAGCAAACCCACAUCCUCAUGGACACUAUUCAGGCAGGGGCAGCUCAGUAAGACCAGCAAGACAAACUCUCCUGAAUCUGGUUUAGAUCAGGAAAGCCAAGGAUGAUGAAAGAAUUGCAAUGAUAAGCCAUGUUUGGAGCAAUCCGUCUGUGACAACAGAGAAGCAAAGACUGGAAAUACCUGUGUUGGUGAGGAUGCGGAGCAUCCAGGACCCUCAUCCACUGCUGGUUUUGCCUCUGAAAACAAGAUAUGGGACCAUGCCCAGUUUCCGCUCAUCCUAUACGGGAGAAUGUUGGUGAUCAGCGCCCUAUAUAUAAGGCUCCAGGCCUUGGUCUACUUCACGUCUGGGGCCACCACCCAGGUUUGUUUUUCUGCAUGGACUUUCUUCAAGGACCCUCUUCACAUACAGUUUGCUGUGGGUUUACAGUAAACCCAUUGGGUUUACUGGAGCAUAUGACUGCCAGCACCCCUUGGACAGGCCUUUCUCUCAUCAGGCCCAAGGAACCUUCUCUGUGUCUGUGCACGGGAUGAAUACACUGAAAGCGUUUGGUCCUUUAACGUGGUUGCAGCAAGCUUCCCGUGAUGACCUACUGCCGAGAGCUGUCUGCCUGGGACCAGGAGCUGGUGUGAGCAUCCCAUGAGGUUGUGCGAGUCCAUCAAGCUCCUCUCCUUGAAUAAUACCUGCCCCACCUGCUCCCUGGAUUUCAGUGACCCCUCGGAGAUCAUCGCGGAUCUGGCCAUUUCCCAAAUACUGAAGCUCUGUAUUCAUGGUUGACCUGGGCAUCCACACUGCCAUGAUCUGUCUGACAUGUGAGUAAAAGGCAGACAGCCUUGCUUUUCUCCUGUUUCUCCACUGGGCCCUAGAAAUUUCCAGGCGUCAGGCCACCAAGACCUCCAUGCAGUAAGAGAGGGAUGGUUCCUCAGACCAAAAAUGGGCUUCCACACCAAAAGAAGAGGGAGUUGAAGGGGGCAGGGGGUUGUUAAAUAGCAACAGAUGUCCACACAAAGUGGACAUCACCAUCCAGAUGACAGACGUCCCCAGGUAAGGGUAACUUCAAGGAAGCAGGAAGAAGCAGAUUCGAUGGUAGUCAACUUAAAGAAAUGAUCAAGUAACAAAAAGAGUAAAGACUGUAGAUCAAGACGAAACUAAGUUCAACCCCCAGCCCUCUGUUUGUAAAGGGGUUACUCGGAAAACCUGAACAAUAUUCCGUGAGCUUUCUGGAAUUGCAAUCAGUCUAGAUAGAGCUUUAUCACUUUUAUUGAUUUUUUUGAAACUAACUUUUAGUUUCAUUGCUGGUUUUUCCAUUUUCAGUUUCAUGAGUUUCUUCUCUUAGGAGUAUUAUUUCUUCCCUUCAGCUUGCUUUGGGUGAAGUUUUUUUCCUAUUUUCUUGACAUGGAGCUUACAUCAUUGAUUAGAGACUUACCUUCUUUUCUAAUAUAAGCAUUUAAUGUUAUAAAAUGUCUUCUAAGCCUGCAUUCAUAUAGUAGUCAUAUGUAGUUAUUAAGUAUUUGAAUUGCGACCAGUCUGAGUUUAGAUGUGCUAUAGUGUAAAAUAAACACCAGAUUUGGGGAAUUUAGUACAAAAGUGUGAAAUAUCUCAUUAGUCAUUUUUAUGUGGUUACAAAAGAAAUAGUAAUUAUUUUGGAUAUAUUAUGUUUAGUGAAGUAUUUAAAAUUAAUUCUACCUAUUUUCUUUUUUCUUCUUUCAAUGUGAUUAGUAGACAAAUUAAAAUUACAUAUGUGACUUGCAUUCGUGGCUCACACUAUAUUUUUAUUGGACAUCGCUGCUCUAAACUCUGCUCUAACUCCACCCUCACAUUUUGAUAUGUUGUAUUUUCUUUACAUUCAAUUCAAAAUAUUUUCUAAUUAUCAUCACAACUUUCUUUUAAGCAUGGGUUAUUUAGAAAUGUGUUGUUUAAUUUCCACAUGUUUAGUGAGUUUCCAGAUAUCCAUCUGUUACUGAUUUCUACUUUAUGUUUUUGUCAGAGAACAUUCUUUUUGUAUGUUUUCAGUUCUUAGAAACUUGUGUGUUUGUUUUAUGGCCCAGAAUAUAGUUUAUCUUAGUAUGUGCAUGUGUACUUGAAAAGAAUGUAUAUUUUGCCGGUGUUAGAUGGAACAUACUCUGAAGUUUAGUAGGCCAAGUUGAUUGAUGGUAUUGUUCAAGUCUUAUAUAUCCUUACUGAUUUUCCAUCUAUUCCACUGAUUACUGGGAAGAGAGUAUUGAAGUUUCCAAAUAUACCUGUGAAGUUGUGUAUUUCAUCUUUCAGAUCCAUCAGUUUCGUGUAUUUUGAAGCUUUGUUGUUAGAUUCAUACAUGUUUACAUCAUUUAGAUUUGUCUUGAUCAGUUGACCAUUUAAUCACUAUAUAAUGUCUCUCUUUAUCUCUGAGGAUAUUCCUUGUUCCAGAGUCCACUUUGUCUAUUAAUACAGCCUCUCCAUGGUUCUUUAUAUUAAGAAAAUAUAAAAAUUUGCAUGAAAUACAUUCUCUCCCAUAAUUUUAAGAUUUACAUCUUUAUAGUUUAAGUGGGCUUUUACAUCCAAUUUGCCUAUCUCUUAUCUUUUUUUUUUUUUUUUUUGACCACACCUAUGACAUGCAGAAAUUCCCAGGCCAGGGAUAGAACCUGGGCCACAGCAGCAACCUGGGCCACAGCAGUGACAAACCAGCUCCUUAAUGCACUGAGCCACCCAAGAACUCCUAACUGUCUCUGUCUUUUAAUUUGUAUUUAGACUAUUUAUAUUUAAUGUGAUUCUUGAUAUGGCUGGAUUAAUAUCUAGCCUUUUGCUAAUUGUUUUCUAUUUGUUUAAUCUGAUCUUUGCCAUGUCUUUCUGCUUCCUCUUUGAUUGAAUAUUUAUUAAAAAUCUGCCUUAUUAUGUAUGACUCUCUUAGUAGUUGCCCAGUGAUUUACAACAUGCAUCUUUAACUAAUCAAAAAUUACUUUCAAAUGAUAUACCAUUUCAUGUACAAUUUAAGAAGCUUACAGUGGUAUACUACCAGGUCCUCUCCUCCAUAGUUGUGCCUUUUUUGUAAGAUAUUUAUUUUUAUGUAUGCUAUAAACCCACAAUACAUUGCUUCUAAUUUUUCUUUAAACCAGAGGUUGUCAAACUUUUUCUUAAAGGGCCAGAUAGCAAGUAUUUUAGUCUUUCAUUCCACACAGCCUCUAUUGCAACUGUUAACCCUGCCAUAAUAACUCAAAAGCAGCCAUAGAGAAUGUGGAGAAAAGGAAGCCCUCGUACAUUGUUGGUGGUAAUGUAAAUUGAUGCAGCCACUGUGGAAAACAGUAUAGAGGUUUCUCAAAAAGCUAAAAAUAGA